GUCCCUGUAGAGCGAUGGAUAGCACAUUGGACAUCUAAUCCAAAGAUCGUGGGUUUGAAUCCCACCUGGAAUA